ACGUAGGGUGCGAGCGUUAAUCGGAAUUACUGGGCGUAAAGCGUGCGCAGGCGGUUCGUUGUGUCUGAUGUGAAAGCCCCGGGCUCAACCUGGGAAUGGCAUUGGAAACUGGCGAGCUGGAGUGUGGCAGAGGGGGGUGGAAUUCCACGUGUAGCAGUGAAAUGCGUAGAGAUGUGGAGGAACACCGAUGGCGAAGGCAGCCCCCUGGGCUGACACUGACGCUCAGGCACGAAAGCGUGGGGAGCAAACAGGAUUAGAUACCCUGGUAGUCCACGCCCUAAACGAUGGCAACUGGGUGUUGGGGGAGCGAUUCCUCAGUACCGUAGCUAACGCGUGAAGUUGCCCGCCUGGGGAGUACGGCCGCAAGGUUA
rnacentral:rRNA from 1 species